GAGGAUCACUGUUUCCCCUUGUGCGUAUAUUAUGGGGUCAAGAUUUACACCGACUGCCGGUAGUCACGAAGGAGUGGUAUUCUUACCACCGACACGUAUGCACUAAGGACACAAAGGAAAACCAUAUUUGGGACUUGUUCCGAGUGACACAGGUUCGAAGACUCAGUUUGAAGCUGCGGAUGAUUGUUGGACUAUAUUUAUGACUUAAGUUGUUUUCGUAGAGUUCCCUCGCCCUUGUUACUUUAGUUUUUAUUUUAUACAGAGGGAGAGGAGUUGUACCUGAGUUUCAUUUGAAUUCUUUUGUAUAAUAUUUAUUAUUAUUAAUAAUUAUGUGAUUAUUAUUGCUUGUU